rnacentral:rRNA from 1 species
GAUGAACGCUGGCGGCGUGCCUAAUACAUGCAAGUCGAGCGAACAGACGAGGAGCUUGCUCCUCUGACGUUAGCGGCGGACGGGUGAGUAACACGUGGAUAACCUACCUAUAAGACUGGGAUAACUUCGGGAAACCGGAGCUAAUACCGGAUAACAUGUUGAACCGCAUGGUUCAACAGUGAAAGACGGUCUUGCUGUCACUUAUAGAUGGAUCCGCGCCGCAUUAGCUAGUUGGUAAGGUAACGGCUUACCAAGGCUACGAUGCGUAGCCGACCUGAGAGGGUGAUCGGCCACACUGGAACUGAGACACGGUCCAGACUCCUACGGGAGGCAGCAGUAGGGAAUCUUCCGCAAUGGGCGAAAGCCUGACGGAGCAACGCCGCGUGAGUGAAGAAGGUCUUCGGAUCGUAAAACUCUGUUAUUAGGGAAGAACAAAUGUGUAAGUAACUAUGCACGUCUUGACGGUACCUAAUCAGAAAGCCACGGCUAACUACGUG